GUUGAAAUAUCACUUAUGGGAACAAGUCUUACAAUGGUAGUGUACAAGAAAAUUUAAGGGCAUAUAAGUACUAGCAAACCAAACCAAAAUAGCUUAGGCCAUUUUAGUGAUGGUGAGCCAGUUUAGCAUGUAGCCUGCCAGUUUGAUAAUCACACACUUGGGUUCAUAAUUUUCAACAACAACCCACUUCGGUAAGUGUCCGGUAGACCUGGCUGGAAGUGAAGUCCGGGCCAGUUCUGGUUCAAGGUUUAGGGCAAACUGGACCGUAGGUUCCAUCCCAAUUUGAGUUCGGUCCAGUUUUAAUCAAAUUCAAUAGUUGAAUAUUUUUUAAAUGAAAAAACCAAUUUGGCCCGAAUCGGACCAACUGGUUCCGAUCUCGUUCAAGGCCAGUUUUUGUCAUUCUGGGUUUGACCAAUUGAACAGUUCAGUUCCAGUUUUGGACCAGACUGUGGCUGGUUCUAGUGUCUGGUAGGUCAUUAAUUUCUUUUUGACUUGCAACAUAAAAUUUACCUCCACCACAUCUUUAUCUCAAGAUGAGAAUUGAAAAUUGGUAUCCAGUUUAUGAAAAUAUUUCUUGUGAGUUGCUUCUUUUUUAUACUUACAUAACAAGGAUAAAUAACAAAGUAUACUGCAUUAGAUUCAUUACUUCCAAUUGUACACCAAAUUCUCCUAUACUAUGGGUGAUGGUGACAGUUAUUUGG
rnacentral:misc_RNA from 1 species